rnacentral:rRNA from 1 species
CCAGUGAGGGAAUUAAGGACAGCACGUUGUCCUUUUAACAGGGAUCCAUCAGGGUGGCCACCCAGUAAUCAGCACAAGUUAGAAUGUGGGCAACUCGGCAGUCGUUGCGCAAGCACUUUGGUGACUCUAGAUAACCUUGGGCCAAUCGCAUGUCCCCGUGACGGCGACAACGUAUUUAGAUGUCUGCCCUAUCAACUUUCGAUGGUACUUUCUGCGCCUACCAUGGUAACCAUGGGUAACGGGGAAUUAGGGUUCGAUUCCG